AGAUCUGGAUCUGAGCUUUUCAAAUUGUCUUGGGUUAGAAUGAGAGCAGAAUCUUCAUCACCUUGUGAAGGACUCCUGGAUGGAAAGGAUUUCAUAUUUCCACUGUAAUCCUGGGGAGUGUUGGCUGUGCUGUUGUCUGAGAUCAUGGACAUUUGGAUUGCCCAAAAUACAUUUUACCAGGUUUCAUCCUUUGCCAUCAACAAGGGAGGUGUUAAAAGACUGUAUUACUCCCUUCAAAAGCAUUCUCCUUAUGUGCAAAGAGCACUGUAAUGGGCAAUAUGAGUAAUGGAGAGAAUACAGAUCCAGCCAUAAGGAACUUGAAGUAUGGAGGCAGAGUUCAGAUUAUCUACUUAGCUAAAAAUAUGAAACGGCUAUGCUGCUGCGUUUCACAUAUCCUGAGUCAUGAGAGACGUUCACGGAACAGUGGUUAUCAAGAACUAAGCACAGAAAAGAGACAAGAACGAGUGUGUCUUACGUCUUCUAGGGCCUCUAGUUCUUCCUCCAGCUGCUGGGUCUCCUCCUUCACUGCCAUAAGUCCUCACUGAUCUGUUCAUUGUACGAAUGAGGAAAUCAAGGUGAAGAGAGAUGGAGAAGUUUCUCAAAGUCAGGUAGUCACAGAGACACACAGUGAGUGGAAUUGCCAGGAUUCAAAGGCAAGCCGACACCAGUAAAGUGACUGGUUCAUCACAGCAAACCACAAAACUAUCUAGGAAAACAGGCGAGCCUGAAGGAAGCACUCUGCUACUUUUCAUCAUUUACCACUUAACCAGGAAUCACACUUUAAGUUCCUGAGAGAAAACUGAGUAUCCACCAGAAAAAGCUAUUUUCUUUCUGUUCAAACUAUAAAACCAGGGAAGUCCAUUUUACUUGAACUGAUCAUUUCCGGAAUUAAAUCUGAUAUUAUUAUAUACACCACAGUUAAAAUCAUUUUAUGACAAUUUCAAAACUGUUCUCUCGUUGCAGUUCAUAAAGCACUUUACUGUUAAGUUUUUGACUUUGCAAUUUAAGUUCUACAUUUCAUUGACUUUCCCCCUGGAUAGAAACAAUACAGUUUUAAUUUGAAUAAAAGAUGACUUGGGGCUUCAAA